CGCGUAGGGAUGCCGGCGCCGGAAGAUGACGUCAUCUUCCGGCUCCGGUAUCAGUGUGGUGCGCGAGGGAGCUGAAGAGGAAGCACUGAGUGCUCCCUCGCGCGCCCGCCUGCCUGCCCGACCGGCCACCCGCCCGCCGGGUGUCAGCAGGGCCAGCCUCGGGGGGCCCUGAGGUGGCCGGCUCCUGGGCCCCCCAGGGGAAGAGGCUGGCCCAGUGGGUACAUACCGGGUCGCAGGGGCGGCCGGGCCCCCUGGU